GGCCCAGGCCCAAGGCCAGCCAGCUCCAGACUCUGAAAGAGACAGGGACAGCCACGUUCCAGCCAAGGAAACUCAAAGGAGGAGAAUCUCCUGUCCCGCCAAACCCCAGCUACCACCAGUCCUACUACAACCAGCCAGAGAGCCGUUGCUUCUCAUCUUCCGCCAUCCCAUGGGACGAGAAGAUGGUGCUGAUAAUUUCUGGAGUUGGGCCAUGAAUCUCAAGGCACAGAGAGAUGAAAUUACUUGCCCAAGGUCACAGCAAAUCAUUGACAGAGUGGCGGAAAAGAUGCGAGCAGCUCUGACAAGCAGGUCUUUGCACUAACCGCUAGGCAACCCUUUCCUCCCAGAACUAAGAGAACCCAGGAGUCCUGACUCCAAGGUGCUGCACUGGCUACUAGACUGCACUCCCUUUCUGAUGCCUUUUGCUGCAUAUUCUGAGAUGCAAAUAAAUAUUCAGAAAUGGACCAGGGAACCUGGGUUUGGGGUUUUGGCAAAACCUUGUGAGUUAUAUUAUUGGGUUUACAAAACCUGGACCAGGAUGGUUUGAGGCUGAGUUAGGUUUUAUUCAUGCCAUCAAAUUCAUGAUGAUAUAUAUGUGUGUGAGAGAGAGCGAGUGUGUGGACAUGGAAUCUGCGAAUCAAAAACUCUAGACCUAAAUUUUACCCCUCUUUUCCUAAUUCAAUUCUUCCCCCCCCACACACACACCAAAAAAUUACAGCAUCUGCAAUAAUAGCCUUUUGUAAACCCUACAAUGCUCGAAUGGCAAACUGUAGUGUUUGGAUGGUUACUCUGUUAGUGUUGAACAGAGACAGCGCUGGAGAAGUGGCUCAGUUACAGGGAAAUCUCUAUGUGAUACAUUAUUAUGACAGCUCCUAGAGGCCCUUACUGAGAUUAAGGCCUUCUUGUGCCGGGUGCUGUGCACAUACAUGGCAAGACCCAGUCUGCCAACAGUUUCCCAUCGACAAGAGAGACAAAGGGUGGGGAAACGGAGGCACAGAGCGGUGAAGUGACUUGCCCAAGGUCACACAGGUGUUCGGACUCCCAGUCCAGAGUGCUACCUCUGGAAAAUCACUCAUCUUGCUAUAGUAAUAUCCAAAGGAUUAAAGCAAUGACGAAAAGAAGUGCCCAUAAUAUGUCUGUCUAAUCCCAGCUCAGACCCCCCUCCCGCCAAUUGCAUCCUUCUGGAAAAGAGCACACCGACUUCAGCUACCAGGACAGAGCGUUGACAGUGUUAUUCAUCAUGGUGGAACCGUUUUCUGCUUCCACCUGGCUGCCUGAUGUCAUCCUGGCUCAAGAGAGGGUGGCCCGAAGAGACCUUAUGGCACUGCUGGAGGGUUGACGCUUGAAUCAGUAAACCCAGAGCCAGAGGGGAGGAAGAGAGCCCGGGCAGCAAGCAGGGAACAGCUGGGGCUCACUGCAUCGCCAACAGAAUGUGUACCAGGUUAAAUAAAAACAUCCCCAAGCCAUG